rnacentral:lncRNA from 1 species
AGUUUCUCUCAAAAUUUCAACUAUCCCCCUUAAAAUUUUGGUAAAAUCUCAACGAAGACCACCUAUUGAACUUAUUUCCUCCAUCAAUCUCUUAAAUUUCAGUUAGGGUUUCAUGGGUUAUAGUGAGGGAAAGCUAUGACCAGUGAGACGAAGCUUUCAAUAAGGUAAAAGAAUAGCUUCCUACAUCUCUAUUAGAUUGAUAUUUAUUGAGAAAUAUUAUGAGCUUGAAAAGAAUUUAUAUUCAUUUUUGAAUGAAUUUUAUUGUAUGAAAAUUAGGAAAUGAUGAUUUAAGGAUUUCCAAGUUUGAUUGGUGUUCAUGUAAGCAUGAUUAAGUGUUGUAGAGCAUCCAUUAAGGUAGGUUAGUAAGCUCAGGUAACUAUGAAUAAAUUAUUUAAUUAUGAUUUUAAUUAUGUUAAUAAUCAUGUGGAAGUCCAUGGCACAAUAUGUAACACCUCAAAAAUUUCAGCAUCGGAUUUUGUGUGAAUCGAGAUAAAUUCGGUAAAAGAAAUAAAUUUAUAAUAAAUUAAUUUUGAAAAUUUUUGGAUGAAUUGUUAAAAUAUAAUUUUGUUAGUAUUUCUUAUGUGUCAUGGACAUAUUUGGAAUUCUAUAUAAUUCUGAGAUUAAAAUAAAUUCCGAUUUUAUUUUAGAGAUUAAAUUGAAAUUUCAAUAUUCAGAGGACUAAACUUGCAAUUAACUUUUCUUUCAUUUGUUUUAGAAUGUUGUGGCGCGUGUGUUGUAUUAUUAUUAUUAUUGGUGGUGUUGUUAUGUUUAAAUAGAUUUUGGAUUUUCUAUUAAUAUAAUGUGGUAUUAUAUUUCUAGAAUAAUUAAAAGUAGAACUAUUAAAAGCCCUUAAAUUUAUCAAAUUUCCCUUUUAUUGUUUUUCAUAUAUGCUUUUUCUAUAAAUGAUUUUAUGAAAUUAGGAUACCUUGAAAAUAGUAUCAUUUCUAAUAAUUUAAUGUUAUUUCACCUUUUUUAUCUUGAAAAAAAAUUAAAUUCAACAGAAAUUUAAAAUAAAAAUACUAAAAUAACAUUAAAUUAUUGAAAAUAGAUAUCUUAUGCUUUCCCUUGCUGCAAGCCACUAUUCUCCCAAAUUUCCGCCUUCAAUUGCCUUCAAUAUUCUUUUCUUCUCUUUCUGGCUUCCAAUUGCCUUACUUGAGCCGUCUGAGUUACCACCGUUUGCAAUCCAAUUAGUGCUGCCAAUUUUUGCUGCGUUGCCGCUCCAAAACCUUGCUACCUGCCGCCGACCUUACCCAAUACAACUGCUGCCAUCAAUUGUUAUGAUGUCGCCCAAGCUGUUGUUAUCAUGACCACUCUCUUGUUUGCUCCGUUUGCCAUAACAAAAAAAUGAAAAAGCAAUAAGGUGGUAUACUUUUUUCGGAUUGCUACAUCAUUGUCAAUCGAUUUGUUGCAUCCGUAUCAAAAUAAUUGCCGCAGUCUUGUUUCCAAUCUUAGCCGCUGUUUUGAUCUCCAAAUUCCCACUAAUUUUCGACCAAAAUUACCAUUAAAUUGCUGUUGCUUGGUACUGUCAUUAGCUUCUAUUACUUUAAUUGAUUUAAUUUAUUUCUGCCCACUAUUUGCUUUAACGUCAAGUUUCAUUGUUUUGGUUUUAGUAUUUUUAAGUAAUAAUUUUGCAUUAUUGGUAAUGGUUUUUAAAGGACGUUUUACUUCUCUUGUUGUGAUAUAGAUGUUCUUUUAUUUUAAUUCUCAUGAUUAAUGCUUUGAAUGAUAUUGAUUCAUAUUGUUCUAAAUUUUGAAUAACUAAGGUUAAUUUAUUUAGAUUAAGGUCAUGAUAUUUGUUUAUUUAGAUUUAAAUAAAUUUUAGGAUGGCAUAUUAUAUUAGAUUAAUUAUUAUAUGUAUUAAGAUUAAGUUGAAUUUGGUUUAGGUUAAGUAGAAGUUGAGUUGUAUCGGUACACUAGCUCCUUUGUAUCUGUAGAAGUUUCUCAAUCUUUGUAAAAAUGAUUUUAAUAGGAUAUUUUCCAAAGUGUUUUGAACAUUUAAACUCGUGAAAUAUAUUUGAAGACAUGUUGAACCAUUUUUUUUUAUGAGUUUGAGAGUACUUGAAAUUAAUUUUGUAGGAUUUUAUCAUUAAUCACAAAAUUAUAAUUCAACUUGGUUAUAUCAAAACAUUUAAAAAUCAGGGCUAACAUAAAAGUUAAAUUAACUUCUUUAAAUUAUUUUUUAAUUGAAUGUAAUUAAAUAAUAGAGUUCAAAGUGAGGAAUGAAAUUAAUUAGUCAUCAUUAUACUGAAUAAGAUAAUUAAAUUUAUUUACUCAUAAAUUCUAAUACGGUAAUGUUGUCAUGACUUUGAUGGAAUUAAAAUUAGAAUUUGAUUGAGCAAAUAAUUUAAUUGAAUUAAUUAAUUAAUAUUUUGGAAAUAAAAAAUUAGUUAUUGGGUUGGAUAAUUAAAUGAAAUUAAUAUAAUUUAAUUUAAAAUUAAGUUGCACGUAUAAUUGUACCCAAUACAUGAAAGGCUUAGAGAGCCCAAUCAAUGGGCAAGUUGGCAACCAUUACGGGAGAGGCUCUUUAUGUUUGUUGCCCACCUUGCUAGAGUUUUUCCAAAACUCCAAUUUUCUAUUAAAUAAUAUUUUCUCCC